rnacentral:rRNA from 1 species
CUGGCGGCACAAGCGCGGUGGUCCCACCUGACCCCAUGCCGAACUCAGAAGUGAAACGCCGUAGCGCCGAUGGUAGUGUGGGGUCUCCCCCAGU